rnacentral:rRNA from 1 species
GAGGGGUAUAGGUUUUCGGACCUAGAGACCGGCGCACGGGUGCGUAACGCGUAUGCAAUCUACCUUUCACAGAGGGAUAGCCCAGAGAAAUUUGGAUUAAUACCUCAUAGUAUAGUAUAACCGCAUGGUUGAACUAUUAAAGUCACAACGGUGAAAGAUGAGCAUGCGUCCCAUUAGCUUGUUGGUAAGGUAACGGCUUACCAAGGCAACGAUGGGUAGGGGUCCUGAGAGGGAGAUCCCCCACACUGGUACUGAGACACGGACCAGACUCCUACGGGAGGCAGCAGUGAGGAAUAUUGGACAAUGGGCGCAAGCCUGAUCCAGCCAUGCCGCGUGCAGGAUGACGGUCCUAUGGAUUGUAAACUGCUUUUGCACAGGAAGAAACACUCGGACGUGUCCGAGCUUGACGGUACUGUGAGAAUAAGGAUCGGCUAACUCCGUGCCAGCAGCCGCGGUAAUACGGAGGAUCCAAGCGUUAUCCGGAAUCAUUGGGUUUAAAGGGUCCGUAGGCGGUUUGGUAAGUCAGUGGUGAAAGCCCAUCGCUCAACGGUGGAACGGCCAUUGAUACUGCUAGACUUGAAUUAUUAGGAAGUAACUAGAAUAUGUAGUGUAGCGGU